rnacentral:rRNA from 1 species
GCUUACGGCCAUACCACCCUGAACACGCCCGAUCUCGUCAGAUCGGAAGCUAAGCAGGGUCGGGCCUGGUUAGUACUUGGAUGGGAGACCGCCUGGGAAUACCAGGUGCUGUAAGCU